UACGUAGGUGGCAAGCGUUGUCCGGAUUUAUUGGGUUUAAAGGGUGCGUAGGCGGCCUUAUAAGUCAGUGCUGAAAUAUCCCGGCUUAACCGGGAGGGUGGCAUUGAUACUGUAGGGCUUGAGUGUAGUCGAGGUAGGCGGAAUUGACGGUGUAGCGGUGAAAUGCUUAGAUAUCGUCAAGAACACCGAUAGUGUAAACAGCUUACUAGGCUACAACUGACGCUGAGGCACGAAAGUGUGGGGAUCAAACAGG
rnacentral:rRNA from 1 species